GCCUCAGUAGCGGCGAGUGAAGCGGCAAAAGCUCAAAUUUGAAAUCUGGCGUCUUUGGCGUCCGAGUUGUAAUUUGAAGAAGGUAUCUUUGGGCCCGGCUCUUGUCUAUGUUCCUUGGAACAGGACGUCACAGAGGGUGAGAAUCCCGUGCGAUGAGAUGACCCGGGUCUGUGUAAAGUUCCUUCGACGAGUCGAGUUGUUUGGGAAUGCAGCUCUAAGUGGGUGGUAAAUUCCAUCUAAAGCUAAAUAUUGGCGAGAGACCGAUAGCGAACAAGUACAGUGAUGGAAAGAUGAAAAGAACUUUGAAAAGAGAGUGAAAAAGUACGUGAAAUUGUUGAAAGGGAAGGGCUUGAGAUCAGACUUGGUAUUUUGCAUGUUGCUCUCUCGGGGGCGGCCGCUGCGGUUUACCGGGCCAGCAUCGGUUUGGAGCGGCAGGAUAAUGGCGGAGGAAUGUGGCACGGCUUCUGCUGUGUGUUAUAGCCUCUGACGAUACUGCCAGCCUAGACCGAGGACUGCGGUUUUUACCUAGGAUGUUGGCAUAAUGAUCUUAAGUCGCCCGUCUUGAAACACGGACCAAGGAGUCUAACGUCUAUGCGAGUGUUUGGGUGUAAAACCCGUACGCGUAAUGAAAGUGAACGAAGGUGGGGGCCCAUUAGGGUGCACCAUCGACCGAUCCUGAUGUGUUCGGAUGGAUUUGAGUAAGAGCAUAGCUGUUGGGACCCGAAAGAUGGUGAACUAUGCCUGAAUAGGGUGAAGCCAGAGGAAACUCUGGUGGAGGCUCGUAGCGGUUCUGACGUGCAAAUCGAUCGUCGAAUUUGGGUAUA
rnacentral:rRNA from 1 species